rnacentral:tRNA from 2 species
GCCCCGUUCGUCUAGCGGUCCAGGACGCGACAUUCUCAAUGUCGAGAUCAUGGGUUCGAUUCCCAUACGGGGUA